UACGAAGGGGGCUAGCGUUGCUCGGAAUCACUGGGCGUAAAGCGCACGUAGGCGGAUUUCUAAGUUAGGGGUGAAAUCCUGGAGCUCAACUCCAGAACUGCCUUUGAUACUGGGAAUCUUCGAGUCCGGGAGAGGUGAGUGGAACUGCGAGUGUAGAGGUGAAAUUCGUAGAUAUUCGCAAGAACACCAGUGGCGAAGGCGGCUCACUGGCCCGGUACUGACGCUGAGGUGCGAAAGCGUGGGGAGCAAACAGGG
rnacentral:rRNA from 1 species